rnacentral:rRNA from 1 species
AUGACGAAAAUAGCUCUAGAUUUUUAUAAGAAACUGUUCAAAGAGGAACAGAGGCCUAAUAUUGCUUUGAAACAAGAUUUCUUCAAUGUUGAUGAAAGAGUUUCUGUAGAGGACAAUAUUAAGCUAGAGGCAAGGUUUACUGAGGAAGAGGUUAGGAAAGCAGUGUUUGAUUCUUACUCAGAUGGGGCUCCUGGCCCAGAUGGGUUGCCUUUUAUGUUCUUUCAGAAUUUUUGGGAUAUAAUUAAGGGCGAUCUAAUGGCCAUGUUUGAAGCAUGGUAUGAUCAUGGCUUAGACAUCUUUAGACUUAACUUUUCCAUGAUCACCCUGAUUCCUAAAGAAGAGGAAGCUAAAGAUAUGAAGAAAUUUAGACCAAUUAGCUUACUCAAUUGUUGCUUUAAGAUUUUUACUAAAGUUCUGAGUAAUAGACUAGCUUUGAUUAUUGGUAAGCUGAUCUCUGAAAAUCAAUCUGCCUUCAUUAGAGGUAGAUACAUCUUGGAGAGUGUGGUUACUGCACAUGAAGUGCUACAUACUACACACUCUUCUGGUAGGAAAGGGAUGAUUUUUAAAGUAGAUUAUGAAAAAGCCUAUGAUAGGGUUAACUUAGAUUUUGUCUAUGAAGUUCUUGAGCUUAGGGGUUUUGGUAGGAAAUGGAUCAACUGGGUUAAGAGCAUAACUCGACAGGGGUCCAUUGGGGUCAAAGUGAAUGGUGAAGAGAGUGAUUUCUUCAUUACCAGUAGUGGUUUAAGGCAAGGUGACCCUUUCUCACCUUUGCUAUUUAAUGUUGUGGUAGAUGUUUUUGCUAAAAUGAUAAUCGAAGGCUCACAAGCAGGUCUGAUUAGAGGACUAUGUCCUAAUUUCCAUCCAGGGGGGGUUACAUGUCUACAAUAUGUAGAUGAUACUCUGCUUUUUGUAGAUUAUGAUCAUAGAGCUGCUAUUAACCUCAAGUGGACCCUGACUUGCUUUGAGCUAAUUUCUGGCAUGUCUAUUAAUUAUCAUAAAAGUGAGUUAGUUCCCAUUAACUUGGAAGAGGUAGAAAUCCAAGCCUUUCUAGAUAUUUUCAAUUGUGUUAGGGGGAACUCCCUAUCAAGUAUUUAG